rnacentral:rRNA from 1 species
GUAUGCGACCUGCCCGUUGCAGGGGGAUAAUCGGGAGAAAUCCCGUCUAAUACCGCGUAACGCCGCGGGGCUGCAUGGCCCUGCGGCCAAAGGAAGCGAUUCCGGCAACGGAUGGGCAUGCGUGACAUUAGCUAGUUGGCGGGGCAACGGCCCACCAAGGCGACGAUGUCUAGGGGUUCUGAGAGGAAGGUCCCCCACACUGGUACUGAGACACGGACCAGACUCCUACGGGAGGCAGCAGUGAGGAAUAUUGGUCAAUGGGCGCGAGCCUGAACCAGCCAAGUCGCGUGAGGGAUGACGGCCCUACGGGUUGUAAACCUCUUUUGUCGGGGAGCAAAUUCCGCCACGUGUGGCGGAGUCGAGAGUACCCGAAGAAAAAGCAUCGGCUAACUCCGUGCCAGCAGCCGCGGUAAUACGGAGGAUGCGAGCGUUAUCCGGAUUUAUUGGGUUUAAAGGGUGCGUAGGCGGACUGUCAAGUCAGCGGUAAAAUACGGGGGCUCAACCUCCGCCCGCCGUUGAAACUGACGGUCUUGAGUGGGCGAGAAGUAUGCGGAAUGCGUGGUGUAGCGGUGAAAUGCAUAGAUAUCACGCAGAACUCCGAUUGCGAAGGCAGCAUACCGGCGCCCAACUGACGCUGAAGCACGAAAGCGUGGGUAUCGAACAGGAUUAGAUACCCUGGUAGUCCACGCAGUAAACGAUGAAUACUAGCUGUC